rnacentral:rRNA from 1 species
UGGCGGCGUGCUUAACACAUGCAAGUCGAACGGUGAAGCCAAGCUUGCUUGGUGGAUCAGUGGCGAACGGGUGAGUAACACGUGAGCAACCUGCCCUGGACUCUGGGAUAAGCGCUGGAAACGGCGUCUAAUACUGGAUAUGAGCCUCUAUCGCAUGGUGGGGGUUGGAAAGAUUUUUUGGUCUGGGAUGGGCUCGCGGCCUAUCAGCUUGUUGGUGAGGUAAUGGCUCACCAAGGCGUCGACGGGUAGCCGGCCUGAGAGGGUGACCGGCCACACUGGGACUGAGACACGGCCCAGACUCCUACGGGAGGCAGCAGUGGGGAAUAUUGCACAAUGGGCGAAAGCCUGAUGCAGCAACGCCGCGUGAGGGAUGACGGCCUUCGGGUUGUAAACCUCUUUUAGCAGGGAAGAAGCGAAAGUGACGGUACCUGCAGAAAAAGCGCCGGCUAACUACGUGCCAGCAGCCGCGGUAAUACGUAGGGCGCAAGCGUUAUCCGGAAUUAUUGGGCGUAAAGAGCUCGUAGGCGGUUUGUCGCGUCUGCUGUGAAAUCCCGAGGCUCAACCUCGGGCCUGCAGUGGGUACGGGCAGACUAGAGUGCGGUAGGGGAGAUUGGAAUUCCUGGUGUAGCGGUGGAAUGCGCAGAUAUCAGGAGGAACACCGAUGGCGAAGGCAGAUCUCUGGGCCGUAACUGACGCUGAGGAGCGAAAGGGUGGGGAGCAAACAGGCUUAGAUACCCUGGUAGUCCACCCCGUAAACGUUGGGAACUAGUUGUGGGGACCAUUCCACGGUUUCCGUGACGCAGCUAACGCA